UCCGUAGGUGAACCUGCGGAAGGAUCAUUACCUAGAGUUGCGGGCUUUGCCUGCUAUCUCUUACCCAUGUCUUUUGAGUACCUUCGUUUCCUCGGCGGGUUCGCCCGCCGAUUGGACAAUUUAAACCAUUUGCAGUUGCAAUCAGCGUCUGAAAAAACUUAAUAGUUACAACUUUCAACAACGGAUCUCCUGGUUCUGGCAUCGAUGAAGAACGCAGCGAAAUGCGAUAAGUAGUGUGAAUUGCAGAAUUCAGUGAAUCAUCGAAUCUUUGAACGCACAUUGCGCCCCUUGGUAUUCCAUGGGGCAUGCCUGUUCGAGCGUCAUUUGUACCUUCAAGCUCUGCUUGGUGUUGGGUGUUUGUCUCGCCUCUGCGCGCAGACUCGCCUCAAAACAAUUGGCAGCCGGCGUAUUGAUUUCGGAGCGCAGUACAUCUCGCGCUUUGCACUCAUAACGACGACGUCCAAAAGUACAUUUUUACACUCUUGACCUCGGAUCAGGUAGGGAUACCCGCUGAACUUAAGCAUAUCAAUAAGCGGAGGA
rnacentral:rRNA from 1 species